GGGUGAUUAGCUCAGCUGGGAGAGCACCUCCCUUACAAGGAGGGGGGCGGCGGUUCGAUC
rnacentral:tRNA from 1 species